rnacentral:rRNA from 1 species
AUUGAACGCUGGCGGCAGGCCUAACACAUGCAAGUCGAGCGAGCGGCGGACGGGUGAGUAAUGUAUGGGGACUGCCCGAUAGAGGGGGAUAACAACUGGAAACAGUAGCUAAUACCGCAUACUAUCGGAUGACCCAUAUGGGAUUAGCUAGUAGGUGAGGUAAUGGCUCACCUAGGCGACGAUCCCUAUCUGGGCUGAGAGGAUGAUCAGCCACACUGGGACGGAGACACGGCCCAGGCGCCGACGGAGGGAGCAGUGGGGAAUAGUGCACAAUGGGCGCAAGCCUGAUGCAGCGACGCCGCGUGGGGGAUGAAGGCUGUCGGGUUGUAAACCUCUUUCGCUAUCGAAUGGUUAGGUGGAGAAGAAGCGCCGGCUAACUACGUGCCAGCAGCCGCGGUAAUAC